AAAUAUGGUUUUGAACAACAAUCAUAGUUUGGGAGUUGCAGCUCUCAUCAAUUAUAUACAGGCAAACAACAAAGCAACUGUCGAUGUAGUUGGUAACUCAAGUAACCCAGAAGCUAAACUCAAUGGUUCGCAUAUCAGUAUGGCUGUGGAGGCUAUGAGGUUUGAUUUCACGCGUGAGGGAACUGCCCACUUGUUGGAAGAACAUUCUAAAGAUAAGGAUGUAAUCGGGACAGACCCACUUCUACGAAUGCAAAGGAUAAGACACAAGAUUAGUUGAUCAUAACAAACACAGAAGCCCAACAAGAAGAAGGUGCUAUGGGCCGUCCAAGUGUGAAGCCUACUACGAUGACAAACUCUUCCUAGCUGAAACUAUCCAGCUGUUACCACUAAUGUGCAGCGGUAACUGAGAAAAAAUGACAAAACGCGAAUCCAGUCAAGCUGAACUUCGUACGGGAAAUACACCUCACUGAAUCUUGUUAUGUAACAGAUUUGAUGUCUCGGAUUGUGAGCUCUCAUGUGACAGACAUGAUGCUUGUCACUCCGAUCCUCACCUUUUGCUUUUCUGCUUUUCUCAUUUCUUCUCCGUAUAACCAUUGUAAUGCGCUGGGUUUAAGUUUAAGUAAUAAGGUUGAAUAAAGUUAUUUUCUUCCUUUUGUUUUUCAAACGCUUCCAUGGUAUCAGAGUCUCACGGUUCAAAGAAUUCACAAUGCCAAUCAAAAUUCCACCUAUACUAAAUUCGUGAAUGGUGAAUUUCCCGUACGAAGACCAGCUUGAAUUCCUGUGACUGGAGAUGAAACAGGGGGUGAUUGUGGUGUUGGGUCAUCACCCAUACUAAAUUCGUGAAUGGUGAUUUUUUUCCGAUCACUCAUGUUGGUUCAGCAGUUCUUCCGAGUUUACAAGGUAAUUUACCACUUGAGGAUAUUUUAGUAUGUUCAGGAAUUGCAAAAUCUCUCUUAUCUCCUUCAAAACUCACUGCUGACUACCUUUGUGCCUUUGAAUUUGAUGAUAAUAGUGUAUAUGUGAAGGACAAGCAGACAAGGAAGCUGUUGACCAAGGGAAAUAGACAUAAAAACCUCUAUGUGUUGGAGAAUCCUCAUUUCCUUGCCUUCUACUCAAAUAGGAAGCAAGCUACUAGUGGUGCGGCUUGAUCAUCUUCACAAGUACGUUCUCAACGUCUCUCAAAGACUGAAGCCAUAGUUAUCAAUAAAGUAGAUCCUCAGUUUUGUGAUGCUUGCCAAGGGCAAAAUAAGUAUACUUCUCUUUUCUAGUUCGGAUUUUGUUUCUUCAAGGCCCCAUGAACGCAUUCUAUGUGAUUUAUGGGGUCCAGCAGCUAUAGUUUCAACUCAAAGAUUUUGUGAUUAUAUCAUCUUUGUUGAUAAAUUAUCCACAUUCUCUUGAUUUUAUCCUUUAAAGUUGAAGUCAGAAUUUUUCUCAGUGUUUUUUUCUCUUCCAAAAGUUAGUGGAAACUCAAUUACAAACCAAUACUUCUAUGUUUCAAUGCCAUGUUCGAAAACAUGGUCGUCUCAGCUGAUUAAUCGUGAUUAAAUGCUCGACGGCCCUUCGGCAAAAUCGGUUACAAAAUCAGAGAAAAAAAUAUCGAUUUUUUGUGUGUUUCAAUAUUAGAAUUAGGAUAUUACAUGGUAGAUCUUUCGUAUUCAUGCUGAAACCAGAAAAACAAAUAUUAUUAAAAUAGAGUUUUGAUGUCUAAAAAGAGAGUGGCUGUCAUUUUUAGGCUCUGUAAACUCGUGAAACAUUAGAUUAGAGAUGAAUUGAAAAUUAUCAGUUUACCCUUAGUUUAUAAUAAAUGAGAAAAAGACAAACAAACCAUAUGAGGGUUCAAACUAUCUUGUCAAUCUUCUUCCGCGGAUGUCUUCUUCUAUUCAGACUAGUCCAUAUGAAAUUCUUGUUGGUCGGACACUGGUCUACACUUCUCUUUAUGUGUUUGGUUGCAGUUGUUAUCUCUAUUUACGCUUAUGCUCGCAAUAAGUUUGAUCCAAAGUCCUUAUUGUGAGUUUUUCUUGGCUAUAAUGAGAAGUAUAAGAGGCACUACUGUCUUCAUCCUCCAACUGGUAAAGUUUUUAUCUCUCGCAAUGUACUCUUUCAUGAGCAUACUUUUUCCUUCUCUGAUGAGUACUUAAGGUUCUUACCCUCUGCUACUACUCCACUUUUGUUUGCAUGGUUUUUUGGUUAUCGUUUUUCUCCCUCUGCGGAUGCAAAUGCAAAGAUCACUCCAGUCUCGGAUGAUGUUACUGAUGUGGUCAUAACUUUGUUCAGUCUAUACAUGUUUUACCUACCACAGUUCCUUCACAAAUGCCAGAAGUGUCUACUGAGACUCCAAAGAGGAAUUCUGAGUGUACGGCUGGAUUUGAUCCGUUUCUAUACGCAACAGCUCCUCUCCAGUUCUCUUCGGACAGAUACUUGUGAGCACCAAUCGUCAUCUUCUUCUGCAACAGAUUCUCCCCAGUUUAAUAUCUUCACUGACUAGGAAUUUUCUCCUCUCAAUCCAUCUACAGCUACUUUCAGUACUUCUACAGCUGCUUCCUUAAGCUUGUCUUCUGCGGAGUCUACUCCAGUACAUGCUCUUGCAUACUCGAUGCAGACUCGAGAAAAAUCAAGUAUCUUUAAGCCUAACCCACGCUAUGCUUUUUUCACCGUGAAACCCAACUAUCCUGAAUCCCAUAUUUUGAAGUCUGCUCUGAAAGAUGAGGGCUGGUAUAACGCUAUGGAUAAAGAAGUUGUCUCAUUUCACUAAACUGAUACAUUUGAUCUUGUUUCACCACAUCCUGUAAAUAAAUUUUUAAGUUGUAAGUGAGUUUUUAAGACUAAACUGCAUUCAGAUGGCUCUCCUGAUCGUCUUAAAGCCUGUUUAAUCGCUAAAGGGUAUGAACAAGAAGAAUGAAUUGAUUACUUAGAAAUCUAUAGUCGGUUGUACAAACUGCAACUGUUCGUUUGGUAUUGGAUGUGGUUACUGCAAAACAAUGGAGUGUCAAACAACUAGAUGUUAAAGAUGCAUUUUUACAUGGUGAUUUAAAAAAAACUAUUUACAUGGUGCAACCUCCAGGAUUUGAAGAUCCUACAAACCCUAACUACAUCUGUAAACUAAAGAACACUAUCUAUGGCCUUAAAUAGGCACCUAGAGCUUGGUUUGAUAAGUUCAGCUCAUUCCUCCUUAUAUUUGGUUUCAAGUGCACCAUGGGGGAUCCUUCACUCUUUGUGUAUCUCAAUAGCUCAGACAUUAUAUACCUUUUGCUCUAUGUCGAUAACAUGCUCCUCACGGGUAGUAAUGAUUCUCAAAUCAAGAAAUUACUUGAUGAACUGUCUUCUACUUCCAGGAUGAAAAACAUGGGUCUUGUCCACUACUUUCUUGGCAUUCGGGCUCAUUUUCAUGAAGGAGAUCUCUUUCUCAGCCAAGAAAAGUACUCUUCAAAUCUCCUAAUUGCUGCAGGAAUGCAGGAUUGUGCACCGAUGCCGACGCCUCUUCCCCUGUAAUUGGAAAAAGUUGCAGGUCAGACUGAGCUUUUUCCAGAUCCUACUUAUUUCAGGAGUCUGACAGGAAAAUUACAGCUGUGAACUACAUCUGUCAUAAGAUGCAUCAGCCCACAGUUGCAGCAUUCUCCAGCCUCAAACGCAUUCUUCGGUAUCUCAAGGACACAUUGCACAUGGGAUUUUAUCUCUACAAUGACACUGACUUUACAUUGAGGGCCUACAGCAACAGCGAAUGGGCAGGUUGCAAGAGCACAAGACGUUCCACAUGAGAUUUUUUCACUUUCUUUGGCUCCAAAAUUAUCUAUUGGUCCGCCAAAAGAUACUCCACUGUGUCACGGUCUUCAACUGAAGCCGAAUACAAGAUGGUGUCUCUUGCUGCUACAGAACUUAAGUGGAUCUCUUAUUUACUUGGUGAAAUAGGCAUUCCUCAACCAGUAGUUCCUGAACUCUAUUGUGACAACCUUUCAGUCGUCUAUCUCACUGCCAAUCCUGCAAUGCAUAAUCAGACUAAGCAUUUUGACACAGAUUUUUAUCAUGUCAGAGAGAGAGUUGCACUUGGUGUUCUGGUUGUCAAGCAGAUUCCGAGUACUAAACAGCGUGCUGAUGUCUUCACUAGGUCACUACCUAACCAACCUUUUUUUAUCUGCAUUUCAAACUUGGUGUAGACCUUCUCCCAAGUUUGAAGGGGUGUAAUAGUGACAGACCUACUUCUGCGGAUGCAAAGGAUAAGGCCUAAGAUCAUUUGAACACGAAAAAUACAGAAGUCCAAUAAAAAGAAGGUGAUAUAGGUCGUCCAAGUGUUAAGCCCACUACGGUGACAAAAUUUUCUCACCUGAAACUAUCCACAUUCUGCAACGGUAACAGAGUAACGACAAAAUGCGAAUCCAUUCAAGCUGGUCUUCGUACGGGAAAUACAGCACACCAAAUCUUGUUAUGCAACAGAUUUAACAUCCUCAGAUUGUGAGCUCUCACGUGACAGACCUGACACGUGUCACUCCGAUCCUCACCUUUUGCUUUUCUGCUUU
rnacentral:lncRNA from 1 species